rnacentral:rRNA from 1 species
AUUGAACGCUGGCGGCAGGCCUAACACAUGCAAGUCGAGCGGAGCGGCGGACGGGUGAGUCAUGCUUAGGAAUCUGCCUGGCAGUGGGGGAUAACGUCCGCAAACGGGCGCUCACACCGCAUACCAUCAGAUGAGCCUAUGCCGGAUUAGGUAGUUGGUGGGGUAAAGGCCUACCAAGGCGACGAUCCCUGGCUGGUCUGAGAGGAUGAUCAGCCACACUGGGACUGAGACACGGCCCAGACUCCUACGGGAGGCAGCAGUGGGGAAUAUUGCACAAUGGGCGCAAGCCUGAUGCAGCCAUGCCGCGUGUAUGAAGAAGGCCUUCGGGUUGUAAAGUACUUUCAGUCGGGAGGCGUUACCGACAGAAGAAGCACCGGCUAACUCCGUGCCAGCAGCCGCGGUAAUAC